UACAGAGGUCCCAAGCGUUGUUCGGAUUCACUGGGCGUAAAGGGUGCGUAGGUGGCAGGGUAAGUUUGAUGUGAAAUCUCCGAGCUUAACUCGGAAACUGCAUUGAAUACUAUCCUGCUCGAGGGUUGGAGGGGGGACUGGAAUACUUGGUGUAGCAGUGAAAUGCGUAGAUAUCAAGUGGAACACCAGUGGCGAAGGCGAGUCCCUGGACAACUCCUGACACUGAGGCACGAAAGCUAGGGGAGCAAACAGG
rnacentral:rRNA from 1 species